GGAGUUACGCAAGUUGUUAAGGGUCUCUUUUACGUUAACCAGUGGUUGAGGGUUCGAUUCUCAACUUGGGUAUGGAAUAGUUUUAAAAUUCAUGGCUAACAUUUACCUCUUUAAUGGACCUAUGGACCUACCAAACGCAAAAAGUUAGUCAUUGGGCUCGCUCUAGUGGUUACUCAGCAAAAACUUUGAUCACUAUAAAUAUCAUUCAAAGGAUAUAAAAAAUUAUCAUCUAAAAUUAAACAAUAUUUAUUCUAAUUAUCUUCAUCCUUCUAUCUUUUUACUCUUCUAUGAAUUUUAGACUCAACAUUUUAAUUCUAUGAAAAUUAGGGGUGAGUAUUCGAUCAAGCCAAGUCGAAUCGAGCCAAAAAUUUUCGAGUUAGUUGAGUUGACAAAUCC
rnacentral:lncRNA from 1 species